UAUAAACCAACUAUGGCCUCUCCGUCGCGUUUCCUUCUGGUCCUUUCUCAUUGUGACGUCAAACUCUAUUGGUUGGAUUGGGCCUGAGGUUUAGGUCAGAGACAGAGACAAGGGCUGUGCUUAGACAGGCCACUUAUGAUAUUUUAUCCAUUAAUUGGCCUUUUGACAUAUCACAUCAGAUAUUUUCGCAUUAGCUUCUUUUCAGAGCAUAUCAGAUUGGUCAAAAGACCAAAUACCAGGGAUGCAAACUAGUCACCUUUCGGUGAAUCAAAAAUAGGUAACAUACAUGAUUCGUGUAGAGCUGAUGAGAAAAGUUUGGGAGGGAGGGCUUUGGACCACUACUGGCUGUAAGCAAAUGACUGAUGCGCAUUUGGAGUAAUACUGGCUGUAUCCAAGGCUCAGUCAAUCAGUCACAUUACAACAGAAUGCAGCAUGCGACUGAAGAGAGAAGAGACAACCAGCAGUUACAGCAUCAGCGCUCGCUCUGGAAAGACAGCAGCGUGUGGAAAGGCAGUUUGCCAGUUACAGCAGCGCGUCCCCUGAACGAUAACGAAGAGGUAGGAUCCCUGGAAUUUAACGAGACUGCCCCUGCUUGGCUUGGGAGUGGGACCCUGUGUGCUCAGACAACGGCAUCACCUACACCUCCCCCUGCCUCGCAGUCUGCUGCAGCUUUACAGGAUACGGAACGAACACCGUAUUAUUAAUAAUGUCCUGAGUGUACAAAACAUUCACAGGGAUGCUGGCCCAUGUUGACUCCAAUGCUUCCCACAGUUGUGUCAAGUUGGCUGUAUGUCUUUUGAGUGGUGGACCAUUCUUGAUGCACACGGGAAACUCUAGAGCGUUGAUUAAAAACGGCAGCGUUGCAGUUCUUGACACAAACUGGUGCCCCUGGCACCUACUACCAUGCCCUGUUCAAAAGCACGUAACUAUUUUGUCUUGCCCAUUAACCCUCUGAAUGGCACACAUACACAAUCCAUUUCUCAACUGCCUUACAAUAUAUUUUUUUUACCUGUCUCCUCUUUAUCUACACUGAGUGGAUUUAACAAGUAACAUCCGUAAGGGAUUAUAGCUUUCACCUGGUCAGCAUAUGUCCUGGAAAGAGCAGGUGUUCUUAAUGUUUUGUACACUCAGUGUAACUCAAUGGCACUGAAAUAAGUUAUUUUCAACCAUUACCUGGUACCUUGUUGGGGCCUUAUCUCCCACCUGGGAUGAAGAGGACUAAGUAAGUAAUUGCUGAUUGGCAAUAAACUAUUAUUUUGAUAUGUGGAAAAAAU
ensembl:lncRNA